AGAAUCAACGCUGGCGGCGUGCCUAACACAUGCAAGUCGAACGAGAAAGUGGAGCAAUCCAUGAGUAAAGUGGCGCACGGGUGAGUAACACGUGACUAACCUACCUUUUAGUGGGGGAUAACCUAGGGAAACCUGGGCUAAUACCGCAUAACACUUACGAGUCAAAGCAGCAAUGCGCUGAAAGAGGGGGUCGCGGCCGAUUAGCUAGUUGGCGGGGUAAUGGCCCACCAAGGCAGUGAUCGGUAUCCGGCCUGAGAGGGCGCACGGACACACUGGAACUGAAACACGGUCCAGACUCCUACGGGAGGCAGCAGUGGGGAAUUUUGCGCAAUGGGGGAAACCCUGACGCAGCAACGCCGCGUGGAGGAUGAAGUCCCUUGGGACGUAAACUCCUUUCGAUCGGACGAUAAUGACGGUACCGGAAGAAGAAGCCCCGGCUAACUUCGUGCCAGCAGCCGC
rnacentral:rRNA from 1 species